rnacentral:rRNA from 1 species
GCAGCACGGACUUCGGUCUGGUGGCGAGUGGCGAACGGGUGAGUAAUAUAUCGGAACGUAUCCAUAAUGGGGGAUAACUAAUCGAAAGGUUGGCUAAUACCGCAUACGCCCUACGGGGGAAAGCUAGGGACCUUCGGGCCUGGCGUUAAUGGAGCGGCCGAUAUCUGAUUAGCUAGUUGGUGGGGUAAAGGCCCACCAAGGCGACGAUCAGUAGCUGGUCUGAGAGGACGACCAGCCACACUGGAACUGAGACACGGUCCAGACUCCUACGGGAGGCAGCAGUGGGGAAUUUUGGACAAUGGGCGCAAGCCUGAUCCAGCCAUUCCGCGUGAGUGAAGAAGGCCUUCGGGUUGUAAAGCUCUUUCGCAAGGGAAGAAAGAUUACUCUCUAACAUAGAGUGAUUAUGACGGUACCUUGAUAAGAAGCACCGGCUAACUACGUGCCAGCAGCCGCGGUAAUACGUAGGGUGCGAGCGUUAAUCGGAAUUACUGGGCGUAAAGCGUGCGCAGGCGGUUUUGUAAGUCAGAUGUGAAAUCCCCGAGCUCAACUUGGGAACUGCGUUUGAAACUACAAGACUAGAAUAUGUCAGAGGGGGGUAGAAUUCCACGUGUAGCAGUGAAAUGCGUAGAGAUGUGGAGGAAUACCAAUGGCGAANGCAGCCCCCUGGGAUAAUAUUGACGCUCAUGCACGAAAGCGUGGGGAGCAAACAGGAUUAGAUACCCUGGUAGUCCACGCCCUAAACGAUGUCUACUAGUUGUUGGUGGAGUAAAAUCCAUGAGUAACGCAGCUAACGCGUGAAGUAGACCGCCUGGGGAGUACGAUCGCAAGAUUAAAACUCAAAUGAAUUGACGGGGGCCCGCACAAGCGGUGGAUUAUGUGGAUUAAUUCNAUGCAACGCGAAAAACCUUACCUGGNCCUU